UGGGGAAUCUUCCGCAAUGGACGAAAGUCUGACGGAGCAACGCCGCGUGAGUGAUGACGGCCUUCGGGUUGUAAAGCUCUGUUAAUCGGGACGAAUGGUUCUUGUGCGAAUAGUGCGAGGAUUUGACGGUACCGGAAUAGAAAGCCACGGCUAACUACGUGCCAGCAGCCGCGGUAAUACGUAGGUGGGAAGCGUUGUCCGGAAUUAUUGGGCGUAAAGCGCGCGCAGGCGGAUUGGUCAGUCUGUCUUAAAAGUUCGGGGCUUAACCCCGUGAUGGGAUGGAAACUGCCAAUCUAGAGUAUCGGAGAGGAAAGUGGAAUUCCUAGUGUAGCGGUGAAAUGCGUAGAUAUUAGGAAGAACACCAGUGGCGAAGGCGACUUUCUGGACGAAAACUGACGCUGAGGCGCGAAAGCCAGGGGAGCGAACGGG
rnacentral:rRNA from 1 species